rnacentral:lncRNA from 1 species
GAUGGCUCCAUCGCUGUUGCCACAUCCUAUUUUCAUUCUUUCAAAUUUUAAAUAUUUAAAUUUAAAAUUAAUUUAAUAAUAAUAUUAUUAAUAAUAUUAUUAAUUUUAAUAAUAUUAAUAAUAUUAUUAUUAAUUUUAAUAAUAAUAUUAUUAAUAUUAUUUAAAUUAAUAUUAUUCUGAAGAGGUGGAAUCACUCUGGAAAGCUCUCCGAUAAGAGUAGUGCCUACUGCCUUCAAUGAUAGGGGUUCA